GCUCUGAUCGUCUAGCCCGGUCAAGGACGCGAGCCUCUCACGCUCGAAACCUGGGUUCAAAUCCCAGCCAGAGCA
rnacentral:tRNA from 1 species